GUGGAUAACUUGGCUUGUGUACUGAUGAAGGACGUGGCAAGCUGCGAUAAGCUUGGGGUAGGUGCAUGCAACCUUUGAUCCCAAGAUUUCUGAAUUAUUCACUUUAUGAAAAUAAGGUGAAGGGGUAACCCAGGGAAUUGAAGCAUCUUAGUACCUGGAGGAAAAGAAAACAAUAGUGAUUCUGUAAAUAGAGUUGAUCGAAAGCAGAAGAGAACAAACCGAAUCUCUUAUAGUAAUAUAAGAGACAUGUGGGGUAUGGCUUGGUUACUUCUUAUAUAUUUAAGUUGAAGCGAUCUGGAAAGAUCUACCAUAGAGGGUGAUAGUCCCGUAAGCAGAAGAUAUCUGAGAAGAUUUCCGAUGUCCUAGAGUAUUGCGCGUUGGAUAUCGCGUAAGAAAAUAGCUGGCAUUUACAGCUAAUUCUAAAUAUAACACAAGACCGAUAGUGAACGAGUACUGCGAAGGAAUGUUGAAAAGAUCCCUUGACGGGGAGUAAAAAGCACUUGAAACUAAUUGGUGACAGCGCGGGUGUGGCUUGAAAGGAAUGAGAGUAAUUUAUAAGUGAUAAAAGGUAACUUUUAAAGCGCAAAUUACUUGAUCAGGGUCACACUGUCCGUCACGAAGCACGGGCGAGGGAGUUAGUUUGUGUGGCAAGACUAAGCGAUUAAGUCGUUGUGUCGUAGGGAAACCGAUGUGCCGCAAGAUUCUGAGGGCUAAAGGUAUUAACUGUGCCUUAAGUCACAUAAACUAGACCCGAAACCAGGUGAUAAACUCCUGAGCUUGAUGAAACCAACCGCCUGGUUGGUGGAGGUCAUAAGCGGUACUAGUCUAACUGUUCGUAUGACUUGGGAGUAGGACUGAUAAGGUUAUCGAACCUGGUGAUAGCGGGCUCCUAUCGAAAUAACUCUGAGGUUAGCAUGGAUGGAGAAGAAUAACGGGGUAGAGCUACUGAUUAGAAAGUACUGGGAAGAAAUUUCCACCUUUCUUGUUAAACUCCGAAUCUGUUAUUUUCUAAGAAGUCCAGAGUAGGGGGCGGGGGGUAAGCCUCUGUUCCAAAAGGGAAAAAACCCAGACUAUGAUUAAGGCCCUUAAGUACAAACUAAGUGUAAAUUCGAAAAGAGUAGUUUUCCUAAGACAAUUGGGAGGUUGGCUUAGAAGCAGCCAUCCUUUAAAGAGUGCGUAAUAGCUCACCAAUCUAGGACGAUUGCCUUGAAAAUUAACGGGGCUAAGUUUGUCGCCGAUAUCAUAGAGCACAUGCAAUAUGUGAUCUGGUAGGUAGGUGCUUUGAUAGAGCAGAAGGUGGGGGGUAACGUCCACUGGAUCUGUCAAAGAUAUGGAUCCUCGCGAUAGUAACAUCAAAGAAAUGUGAGAAUCAUUUCCGCUGAAAGGGCAAGGGUUCCUUAGCACUAAUCUUUAGCUAAGGGUAAGUCGAUCCUAAGUCUCUUCGUAACUCGAAGAAUGACGAAAGGGAAACAGGUUCAUAUUCCUGUACCGAUAAUGCACGUGUGGUAACGCAAGUAUAGUUUCUAACACUUUUGGCAAGGUGGAGUAUGCUUGUCUGCAUAUCUAAACCUUAUAGAUCUCCGGAGAAUUAUAAUAAUGAGAUGGAGAUUAAAGAGGUGAAUGGGAGAAAUCUUUUAUCAAGGCCAAGGGUCCAUGAAAAAGAAACUAUAAAGUGUAUUGUUGUUCGUACCCAGAACUGAGAAAGGUGUCCCUGGCUGAAUAGGCCAAAGCGUAAUAAGAGAAUAAAGUUAAGGGAAUUCGGCAAAUUAGCCCUGUAUCUUAGGUAGAAGGGGUGCUUACGGUUGAGUAAACUGUAAGUUUUAAUUACAAAGAUGGUCCGACUGUUUAUCAAAAACACAGGUGACUGCUAGCCGGAAACGGUGUGUAUAGUCACUGACUUCUGCUCACUGCUAGUACGUGAACGCCAGGUCCAACUGGUCUAAGCGCUGGUAAAGAGCGGGCCUAACUCUGAGGCUCUCAUGGUAGCGUAAUACCUUGCCGAUUAAAUGUCGGCUUGCACCAAGGAAGUAACGAGAUCGUCACUGUCCCUAACUUUAACUUAGUGAACUUGCUUAGCGUGGUGAAUAAGCCACGGACAACCAAUGGGAGGAUAAGACCCCACGGAGGUUUACCACAGUCUGGUGUUGUUGUAUUGUUUUUACUAUAGAGCGUAGAUGGGAGUCGCUUUAGCUGCUUUCGCUAGGAAGUAGUCAGACGCCAAUGUAACACCAUCUAGUAGGAAAAAUACAACUUACGUCUAUAUGACGGACAUCACUUGAUCGGGUGGUUGGACUGGGGCGGUACGCCCCUGAAAAGAUAUCAGGGGCGUCCAAAGGUCUGCUCAGGCUGGUCAGAAAUCAGCCGUAGAGGACAAGACCAAAAGCAGGCUUAACAAUGUUCUUAAAAGCACGGAACGUUGGAAGGAAACUUGGGUCUAGCGAACGCUAGUGUCCCUAUUUAUGGGGGCCUAGUCUGACAGUGAACUUACCCUGGGGGUAACUGGGUUGUCGCGGGUGAGAGUUCACAUCGACCCCGCGGUUUGCUACCUCGCUGUCGGCUUACGGCAUCCUGGCUGUGCACAAGCAGCCAAGGGUGGAGGUGUUCACUCAUUAAAGCCGUACAUUAGCUGGGUUAAGAACGUUGCGAGACAGUUUGGUUCCUAUCUAUUGGUUGUGUUGGUUGUUUGAAGGUAAGAUCCGUUUAGUACGAGAGGAACGAUGGGUCGCAGUCUCUGGUGUGUGGGUUGUCUGACAAGGCAAUGCCCAGUAGCUACGCUGUAUUCGAUAAGUGCUGAAAGCAUCUAAGCACGAAGCGAACCCUAAAACGAGACAGCCAUUUUCGCAGAAAUGCGAGACGAGAACUCCGGAAGAAGACCGGUUUGAUAGGUUAGGAGUAUACGA
rnacentral:rRNA from 1 species